UUUACAAAAAUUAUGUCAAUUGACAUCACUUAAAUCACUAAUUCUGGAUGCUUACCACGGAUGCUGGGCUUUCAAUUUUCACCAGUCAGCAAUUGCAGACUUUUAGUUAUCACUGUUUGGAUGUAAAUAUUUGCUUUAUACGAUUUCUUUUGUGGAAUCAUUUGUAUCAUUAUUCUUUUCAUUAUGAACAUUUGGGUAUAGUAUCUUGUAGCAUCGGUAACAUUAUUUUCACCAUAGUACUACUAUUAAUAUAUUUUAGUAUUGCUUUUUUUUUAUAAAAGAGUAUGAACUAAUAAUGACGCGCUGAUGGUGAAUUGAUGUGAUGUCGUGAUGAAGCUGCGCUAAUCUGAAGUGAUGGUGUGCGUCUACAAAAUCGGUAGGUGAUGCUGAAUGAUGAUGAAGAAGUUGAUGUCCACGCGAACCCAAAGAGAGAGAUGAUCAAGACAUCCGUGCGAUGUCCAGUUUGCACGAAAGAUCGAAACGGUGUUGUUAUGAUCCUCAGAUGCUCCUCGAUGCGUGGUGGUUUAGAGUUGCAGGCGGUGUUCGAGAUGGCGAUGAACCAAUGCGUAGUCUGGUGCCUGAUCCGGAGACGCAGCGUUGAUGAACUGUUGUGGGCGCAAGAAUGGUGAUACGUGGGUCUGAUGACUCCUCUCUCAGAUCCAAUAGGGGUGAUGCCGACAGAAAUCUUGCUUCUGCCGGAGACUGUCGCUGUGUCAAUCUCCUCCACUCGGAACUGGUGAUGAUGGUCGAUAGCAGUGAUCUCCUCCAACUGGAUCCGUGACGCAGUCCCCUAUGAAAACUUUUGUCUCAAGAUCGAUCCUCCGCUCUCUGUUUCUUUCUUUUCCGGCAUCCCCGAAAGAUGAAAGAUGAAAAACCUCCAGAAUUCGUCAUGCAGUCCCUAAAGCUUAGAUGAAAACUUCUCUCUCGAGAUCGAUCCUCCCCUCUCUGUUUCUUUCUUUUCCGGCCAAAAGAUCCCCAAAAGAUGAAAGAUGAAAAACCUCCAGAUCGAUCCUCACGCCUAGAUGAAAACUUCUCCUCUCUCAAGAUCGAUCUUCCACUCUCUGUUUCUUUCUUUUCCGGCCAGAAGAUGAAAGCCAAAAACCGCCAGAAUUCUCCCUCGGUAUAUGAUGAUCUCCUCUUCAAAGAAAAGUCCAGAAUCCUCUCGAUAUUGCCUUCCAAAGUCGGUGAUAGCUCCCCUCACCAAAAAAAUGAAUGAUGAAUGAUGAAUGAUCCAAAAUGAAUGUGCAGUGAUGGUCUUCUGAUCUGCCGGUGCUGCGCACUCCUGAAGAUAAACUAAUGAAGAUGAACUGCCAAUCAAGAUAGCGUGGCCGUUAUGAUCUUCCCAAUGGUCUUGUACCUCCCCAAAGCUCUGAUGAUCCUGCACCAAUGAAGUGGGAGUGUUGCUGUUGACGAGAACCCUCCAGAAUCUCUCCUAUCCUCUUCAGAAUGCUGAAAAAAAAUCCCUUAAACCAAAUUCGUGAUGAUGAAAUCUGUGAAUCUGCUGUGGAUACGGUCUUGAUGUCGUUGUGAUGCCACUUUUCCAAAAAAAUAAAGAAAAUCUGAAAAGCCGUAAUUGCUCGGAAAAUCUCGAUACCCUAACAAAAAUAAGAGGUAACCUUCGUCCUUUUUACUCUGGUUUCCACUAGCGCCGACGACGGCUCCCACCUCAUGCUCAGAAUAACCCGGAACCCAGAGUAAGCGCGCUCUCUCUUGGGUUCUUUGUUUGGUUACCUAGAAAAUAAUAGUCAAAUUUUUCUUUGAAGGAUUUACUUUUCCUCUUUGUUUUGUUUUUUCCAUUACUGAGGCUGAGAUCCUUUUCGUUUUUUCUACGACCUUUAGGUAAUUCCUUUCAUUUUCUGGGUUGCUUUCCCCUUUCCCGUUCCUUAAAUUUCCCCAGAAUUUUUCUGAACUUUUCCGGCUUGUUUCGUUAUGGAUUUGGUAUGUUUUUUUACCUAAUUGUCGAUGAUAUUCUUGCUACUGUUUCUUGGCCAAUAUUUUUUUUAACAAUCCGUGUUAUGGGUUUUUGGGAUUUCUGUUUGGUUGCUGGGAGAGUGGCAGCUAAGAGAAGUAAGCUGAAAGGUGGAACAUUAAUUUUGCCCUUUAACCACUAUUGAUUUGUCUUGAUUUGUUUCUUUUUCUUUAUGAAAUCAAUGUUUGAUCUUUUUUUUCUUGGCAAUUAGUGAGGAUUAUUGUUUGUUCUUUUUCUUUGGGAAUAUGGACUGACAGAGGAGAAAUAGAGACAAAAUAGGAAAAAAAAAACAUUGGGAAAAGUAGCCAGAAAAUGGAAACUACAUGGAACCUUUUAGAAGAGAACUCUUAGGCUAUGUUUGGUUCCCGGAAAAUUUGAGGGAAAAUGCGAGGGAAAGAAAAUACAAAGGAAAAGUAGAAGGAAAGAAAAAGUGAAGGAAAAUAAAAAAAAUAGAUUAAAAGUUGAUAAAUUAUUUUUUUUGUUACUUCAAACACAUUUUAUUUAUUUUAACUCAUCAAUAUAAAGAUUAAAUAAUUUAUAAAUACAUAAGUUUUUAAUUAGUUUUAAUUAUAUUUGAUUUUCUUUGAUAUUUUUCAUAGGACAACCAAACAUGAAAAAAUCAUUUUCCUUAGCAUUUUUUUUCUUUCCUUUGUACUUUCCGGGAACCAAACAUAGCCUUAAGGUAAAACGUGUUCGACCUCACUACAGUGGAGCGGAGAUAGAUGGAUUCGGAUUCGUAGAAAUCUCUUGAAUGUGAGUACCCAAUAAUCUAUUCCGAUUUUUAAAACUUUUGUGCUUCUCAUGGCAUUUUCUCAGGUCCACCCUCCCACAUUCCCAUCAUUUCUCUCUCUUUUUCCCCAAGGAAAAAAAGCUCGAUUUCCAUUACUUAUCUUUUUUAAUUCCUCUUGUCAGACCAUUGUUGCUGUUUUAUAAAGAACAUAAGGAAGUUUAAUUUGGGAAUUCUUGUAAGACUAAAAGCAAUUCAUUCCAUUUUUUGUAUGCUUAGUGCUUUUGUUACUUUCUAUUUAAUUGAAUUCAUAUAUAUAUAUAUAUAUAUAUAUAUACAUCUCCAUGAAUUUAUUUGGCUGUUGCAAAAAUUUUAGGGAAACAAAAUGUUUAGGUUUUUCGUUUAGAACUUCUCAAAUUGAGCCUAACACCACUCCAUUUGGCUUAGUUGGGUUAAGGUUUCAUUAAAAUUUGUAUUUAUUUAGUUUUUUUCAUUUUCCUUAUUUGUUCUUGGCAACCAAACAGGGUGCAAAGGAAAACAAGUAAUUAUUUAUAAGCUGCCACGAGCUGUUUAAUCCUGUUACCAACCCAUGGUUGCUUGCAAGUUGGCUCAAUUAGUUGUGUCGCUUAGGUUUGCUUGUUAUGUAUCGGCAUGUCUUCUGUUGGAACAAUGUGACUAGUUAACCACACUUAGUUUUGGAACAGUAUCUUCCUAAGGAAUAUUUGGGUAUCUUGUUGUGUACAUUCAUGAUAUGUGAAAUGCAUGAAGCAUUGAAAUGGAGCAAUAGACUCCACCAUAUUUUUGGUGAAUAUAAGUGUUUUAUAAUAUAAGUGUUUUAUGAUAUAAAGUAUAAGUUAGCCACAUCCAUUUUAUAUAUAUAUUUUUUAAUGCAAUUAACUACUUGAUUUAUGAGAUAAGGUUUUCUUCGGUUGAGUAGUGUUCCUGUGUUUUCCAUAUGCAUAUAAAAUUUUUUACAUGCAUAUCACUAAUUUAUACAUUAUAUUGUAGGUAAUGUUGCUGUUAGAAAAAAAAAUAAUAAUAGGAUUAGACGAAAUCAGAGCACCAAAGAGGAUAUUUUAUGAUGAAGUAAUGUUUUGGAACAUUUGAUGAUGAAGUAAUGUUUUGGAAUAUCUUUUGUCUAAUUUAUUUUAAUUAGUUCAUCUUUGAUGCGCUUCAAGUUGCUUGCAUCUUUGAUGUCCAAUUUAUCCUGUUUAUUAUUAAGUGUAGGUUGUUAUCCCUCCACUCAGCCAUUUAUUGUAUAAUAAUGAUCUUGUAUUCUAGCUUAUUUAUCAAUUCAAAUGUGUUAUUGAGUAAAUGAUUCCAAACUUGGGGGUGUCCUUGAAGAAUGAAUCCAACCCCAUGCCAUUAUAUCCUCUAUUUCUGGUAUUUCUAGUAUUCUAAUUCAUGGUUGAUUUAAGAGCACUUUGUGUUGUUAAUCCAAGUUGCAAAGGAAGGUGGUGAAAAUGGAAGGCUAUGAUUGAUGAAGUAAGUUCUGAUCAAAUAUUUUGGAAUACACUUAAAAGAGUUUUGAAUUGAAGUUUUGAAUAUAUGAUUUUUUACCCUUCAGGAAGAGAGGAUUGGAUUUUCAUUUCUUAUAUUUUAUAUAAAAGACUAACUGGAUUUUGUGUGGUUGUUCAGGAAGAGGGAGGCAAAGAACCUGAUCGAGAGUUGAUAGAUGAUUAUGAGUACUUUAGGAUGGGAUCCUCUCAACUCAAGUGUUCUGUUUUUACUAAAUUGGGUUUCGAACCCUUGUAAAUUUUGAAUCCUAUUUAACUCAUAGAUGUUUGGAGUUUCUAUAUGUUCAGAAAGAAAGUAUAUUCUUGUUAACCAUUUAGCUCACUUUUUGCCUCCUAUAGAAUAUUUUGUUUUCAUCAUCUUUAUAUUGAUUUGAAAUGAGGUCUCUUCACUAUUGAAAGUAGGAUAAUGAAAAUGGACAAUGAAAUUUAUUCCCCUAUAACAAGAAAAAUGGAUUUUUAUUUUUUUGUUGGAGAAAGUAAAACCUACUAGCUACUACUAUACGUGUAGUGCAUGAAACAAUGGAAUGAGUCCUCAUAUAUAUUUGGGAGAAUUGUGUUUUGGGCCCAGCUGGGCCCAAAAAUUAAGGAAUGGUCCAUCUAACUAACUAAAUUAAUGAUAAGGAUAUCAAAUGUUAACAGACGAAAAUACCCUUUACAUUUCCAACUCAAAAUUGUUGUAAAAUAAUGGUUUCACAGCUGGUAAACGUGAAAUGCCAUGUCACCAGAGUGAAAAUUCUGAAUCUUCCUAAAAACCACUCACAUAUACCCUCUCCUUCUACUCUCUUUCUUGCCGGAGUUUCAGUUUCUCCGUUCAACCCCAACUCUUCUCCGGCCAAUUCUUACUCGUCCCACCAUUCUUUCCUUCAAUUCUCACCAGAGUUUGCUCCUUUUCCACCAAAGUUCACUCCUUUUUCACGAAAGCUCACAACUUUUUCCCACCCGAGAAACCAUUUUCCGCUCAAACAAAUAGGAUUUUCUCCUUUUCUAGUUUAUGGGAUUUCGACAUAGUUCCUAAAAAGAGACACUUGAGAGGGAACUAAGGUUUUCUCUGUAUACACAAAAGGGUUUUUAGAGAGAGAAAACAGAGUGCAGUUUCACUGAGCCAUUUUUGUUUGCUUUGAAGGAAAUUUUUUAUGUGUUUUGGUGAAGAUUUUAGGGCCUAAAGCUUCAGAUUAUUUGUUUGGCAAUGCAGAAAAUAUAUUCUGGAUUGCUAGAGAGAUUGUAAUCAGCGCAGCAAAUUCAAGGUUGGGGGUUACUGCUUUGACAAAACGAGUGGGGUUAAUAGAUAGACCUGAUAGUCCAUAUGGCGAGUUGAUAAAGAGGGACCCUUGCCUCACAACGAUCGGGUGAUCUAUCAGCCACUGGACGUAUAUCCUGCUCCACUCCACAGAUGUUAAAAGUGUUAACGGAACGACGUAGGGUUCUCAGUUCCUACCAUGUUGUCUUUGAUCCUACUUUGGCUGCCCUCUAUCUGAGUCCAAGCUAGACAUUGAUUCGGGCUCCUGGGAGAAGAAAGAAACCCGGCUUUUGACACUAAUGCUCUGGUUCUUAGAUGCUGAAGUUAUUGAAUAUUGUCAGCUGCCUCUUGAGUAGAAGGGUGAAAUGCCAAUGGAAUGUAUAUUGAGAUGAGGCUUAGGAAUGUGGUUUACAACAAUUUUGUUGGCUUAUUUAUUACUAUUUUGAUGUUUCUGUACAAUGAAAUUGAAGUUAUAAGAAGGGUCGAUUUGUCUUCGUGUACAGAGAAAUCUGUAAUGAAAAUACUUUUUGCCCAUUAAUGUAUUAAUGUGCAGAACAUAUAAAAAUUGUGAAAUCUCGAGUUCUAGCGAA